CCUACGGGAGGCAGCAGUGGGGAAUAUUGCACAAUGGGGGAAACCCUGAUGCAGCAACGCCGCGUGAGUGAAGAAGUCAUUCGUUAUGUAAAGCUCUAUCAGCAGGGAAGAAAAUGACGGUACCUGACUAAGAAGCCCCGGCUAACUACGUGUCAGCAGCCGCGGUAAUACGUAGGGGGCAAGCGUUAUCCGGAUUUACUGGGUGUAAAGGGAGCGUAGACGGCGACGCAAGUCUGAAGUGAAAUGCCAGUGCUCAACACUGGAACUGCUUUGGAAACUGUGUGGCUGGAGUGCAGGAGAGGUAAGUGGAAUUCCUAGUGUAGCGGUGAAAUGCGUAGAUAUUAGGAGGAACACCAGUGGCGAAGGCGGCUUACUGGACUGUAACUGACGUUGAGGCUCGAAGGCGUGGGGAGCAAACAGGAUUAGAUACCCGGGUAGUC
rnacentral:rRNA from 1 species